CAUCAUCACCAUCAUCAUCACCAUCACCAUCAUCACCAUCAUCAUCAUCACCAUCAUCAUCAUCACCAUCAUCAUCAUCACCAUCAUCAUCAUCACCAUCAUCACCAUCAUCAUCACCAUCAUCAUCACCAUCACCAUCAUCAUCAUCACCAUCAUCAUCAUCACCAUCAUCAUCACCAUCAUCAUCAUCAUCAUCACCAUCACCAUCAUCACCAUCAUCAUCAUCACCAUCAUCACCAUCACCAUCAUCAUCACCAUCAUCACCAUCAUCACCAUCAUCACCAUCAUCAUCAUCAUCACCAUCAUCACCAUCAUCAUCAUCACCAUCAUCAUCACCAUCAUCAUCAUCACCAUCACCAUCAUCACCAUCAUCAUCAUCACCAUCAUCAUCAUCACCAUCAUCACCAUCAUCAUCACCAUCACCAUCAUCAUUAUCAUCACCAUCAUCACCAUCAACAUCAUCACCAUCAUCCUGAUCAUCUCUGUUCGUCUUCAUUGCACAAAUUAUGGAAUUAUGUUUUUCAUUUAAGAAAUAUACCCAUUCUGCUUCAUAAAUAUACUAAAUUAAUUUAAUGAGUUUCCAUCCGGGGUUGUCAUAUAUUUCAAGCAAUCUACUUAUAAUGAAAGUCUUCUGCAAAUUGUGAAUGUUAUAAUAAUUUUGAAGAAGACCAUUAUUGUUUAGAAUCAUGCUUUUUAGUAUACUUUACCUAUGAUUCGUGCCCCCUCCCCCCAAAAAAAAAGUUAUCACCAAAUCAUGUUUGUUAUGUUAUGAAAUGUAUUACAUGAAUUAUGCAUGAUAUGCAGGAGAAAAAACAAUGAAAUGAAAUAUAAUAUUAUAUCACCAAAUGUCUAAAUAGCACCCCCCAGCAAUGCUGUUAGUUUUUCAUUGGUUAGUCCGAAGAGACUGAAACAGAGAAAGAAUGAGAGAAGAGAGAGAAGGGGGGGGGUAAGAGAGAGUGAAAUAGGUAAGUACUUUCACUUUAGCAAUGCUCAUUCAAUUGAAAUCAAGGAGACAUCUCUUUGCUGAAAUCAAAUGCCCAAAUUGACCACACGUAGAUCACCAAGAUUUUCACCUCACUCAAAAUAUUUGGAUAAAUAUCUUCUGACAGUUUUUCCUCCUCAUCUUGCACUUGCAAAGCCUUCCCACUGGUUCACUGGGCGGCAUGCCAAGGAGUAGUAAUCGCAUAUUCAUGAGCUCAUGUUUUUAUGCAUGCUUACUGAUGCAUAUUCAUGAGAAAGCUGCUUGAUUGGCAGGUGAGCAGCGGGAGCUGGUUUGGAAGGCAACUAGUCUUAUUUUUCAGACCCAUAAAUCACGUAGGCUGAUUAUGAUGCAUGUAAUUUUGCACGAAUCCUUCUUUAUAACAAAAACAACAAUUUGCAGAGAGUGAGAAAGUAAUUGAAAUGUAUUUGCUGAACAGUGAACUUUCCAGAAUCACAUAUGUAGAAUAAGGAUUUUAAAAGUAAGGCAGGUACUACUUAGGAGUCUGAACAAGACAUCUACUUGUUCACCGAAGUUUGCUGUGGAGGACACACAGAGAAAUGACUCUGCCAUAUGUCUCAAUACAAUGGGUACAAUUGAUACCAAUAGGACUCUUUUAGAAAACUAAAUUGAGUUGCUACUUUUCCAAUCAAAAGGGAAUUGAGCCUGUUCCCAUUUUGUCUACCAAGUUUAUUCACCUAUCUACCCUUCUCAUUCCAGCCCCCCCCCCCCUCCCCUCAACUCAUGGUCAUGCAUAGGAUUGGAUUUUAGAGGGAAAUGUAAAAGUGAUUUGAGCAUCCAGCUAGCACAGUUCUUGUAUUUAAAAAAGGCCCAAACUCGUGUCUGUCAACUGGUCUAAUUACCUAUCUUGAUUCUCCGCCACCGAUGAUGGCAUCAUCAAGACUGUUGCAUGCUGGGAGUGACCCGAUCCGCAGGUCAUCCAAAGUACAGAGGGAAAGUUCAGGUGCUGCAGAGGAGAUGUCAAGAGUUUUUUGUCCUGAAUCAACCUCCUCGAGAUUGCUGAAAUUGUGAUGAGAGAAACAGAGAUUCUGGAGGGGGUUUAAAACGGUCUUUAUUGAGAGAGAUGAGGGGUGUAGGUGUCUAGAGGGUGCUUUGAUGACAGAGUUUGGGGACAUUGACACAGGGAAGUAACUUCAAGCGGUUAUCCCCAAGAGCCAGGCUUGCCCUCUUUUUCUCCAAUGAUGAAUUUCAAAGCAGCAUGAGAUUAACAGUUCCUGUAUAUUGUGUACAGAGGGCAGCAACUUACAGACCCCUUGUACUUUGAUGCAGAGACAGGCUCCUCAAUUUGAUGUAAUUCAAGUAUAUUUAAUAAAUGGUAAGGAGAAUUUCUCAUUUGUUUACAAUAACUCUUGUUAAAGGUUUAGUUGACAUUAUUUUUACUUUAGAAAAUCUCAGCUUCAAGGUCCCAUUUGUAUCCUGUGUCUGUGACAUGUUUUAAAAAUGAAGCCCUGAAAAAAUUGUACCCUUAAACCAUUGUUAAGCGCUUCAAAAAGGUGAAAAGUAAGUGACCAGAAAUACCAUCCCAAUUUACAUAUUCACUACAUAUGUUAUAAUUAGACUCCCCUAAAUUAUAAUUUUCUGUCACAGAUAUCUUGAAAGUGUCUGCGAGAAUUUGAUUUUUUUUUUUCGUCCUGGAUGUUUUUUAAUUAAAAACAAGACCUGUCAACCAAUGUCUCUAAACUUCUCUGAUUUUUGUUUCACCGCAGUUGAAGUUGCCUGGUUCCUUGAAAAGCUAGUGGCCUGGUGUUAAACAUCCAUUGGCACUUCUUUGAUGGUCGGGUCUUGGUUGGGUUUAGAAUAUGAUCUUGGGUCUAGAUCAUGGGUAUGAUUAGAUUUAGACUUAGGUAUAGCUUGUCAGUUGGUUCCAUGACAUUUGCUCUGGCGACAAUUGCUCUGCUCUAAAUUCCAUACACUAAUCGAAUGACCAACUCCUACCCUUUACCUAACGUAAAACGCUAUUGCAAGCCCGACCCAACCCUAACCCUACAUCUUAGACGAAAUUAAGCCCGGAGCAAUUGUCACAGGAGCAAAUGUCGUGUCACAUGUCAGUCAGGGGGAGUAACGUAAAAAAAAAACAGCAUCUAAAACAGAGUUAAGUGUAGUAACUGUGCAAGAACAGGCCGCGAUUACAAUAUUUUCAGGACAAGGCCACUUUUCUAAAGGGCACAUUUCAAUAUUUCAGCACAAAUUGGAAGAUUGAAAAGGGUAAUAUCGGAUGGGAGGGAUUGAGACCCAGUCAACAGGGUAUCCAUGGUCAUGACAUUAGAUCCAUUUAAGCCUUGCAAGCAUAUUCAUUUGUUUGUUUAAAUCAUUGUUUGGUCUUCUGUUUCUUUCAUUCAUUCAGGUAUCUAAACAUUUUUUUUCGUCCAUUUUCAAAAUUUCCUUUUGGUCAUAAAUUCAGACAAAAGCAACUUCUUAUCAAACAAUAUAAUGGACAAGGUUUGUUUACAGGAGAAGGGUACAUGUAAGUCCCUAAAAGCAAUAGCUUGUGAUGGGACAUAAUAUAAAUGUAUGAUACAGAUUUACAAUACAAUAUAAUACAGAGAAAUAUACAAUAUAAUACAGAGAAAUAUACAAUGAUAUUAUUGUGUUGCUUCUGCAGAGGAGGAUUAUAGAGCUGUUGUACAGCAAAGAAGAAGGGAAGUGGAAAGAGGAGAGGGGGAGGUGGAAGGAGAAUUCUAAGAAAUAAAUGAUUUUAUAAUGAUAUCAAAAUUGCAGCUUCUAGUGUGGAUGAUGAGACGAAGAUAUUAAAAAGAAAGGAGGAGAAGAAACAAGAGAAGAAAAAAGAGAAGGAAAAAGAAAAGAAAUAAAAGAGAAGGAGAACGAAAAGGAAAAAUUUAAAUGAGAGGAGAAAGAAAAGAAAAAAAGGAGAAAGAAAAGAAAAGAUAAAAUAGGAGGAAAAAAAAGAAUGAGAAGAGUAGAAAACAGAUGACGGGCCGCUGCGGGGGCAAUGGAAUAGAAGAACUGGAGGAGAUUGAAAAAUGGG